GACGAACGCUGGCGGCGUGCUUAACACAUGCCAGUCGAACGAAAGGCCCUGCUUUUGUGGGGUGCUCGAGUGGCGAACGGGUGAGUAACACGUGAGUAACCUGCCCUUGACUUUGGGAUAACUUCAGGAAACUGGGGCUAAUACCGGAUAGGAUCUCCUGCUGCAUGGUGGGGGUUGGAAAGUUUCGGCGGUUGGGGAUGGACUCGCGGCUUAUCAGCUUGUUGGUGGGGUAGUGGCUUACCAAGGCUUUGACGGGUAGCCGGCCUGAGAGGGUGACCGGCCACAUUGGGACUGAGAUACGGCCCAGACUCCUACGGGAGGCAGCAGUGGGGAAUAUUGCACAAUGGGCGGAAGCCUGAUGCAGCAACGCCGCGUGCGGGAUGACGGCCUUCGGGUUGUAAACCGCUUUCGCCUGUGACGAAGCGUGAGUGACGGUAAUGGGUAAAGAAGCACCGGCUAACUACGUG
rnacentral:rRNA from 1 species